GCCGGGCGUGGUGGCUCACGCCUGUAAUCCCAAUACUUUGGGAGGCCGAGGCAGGCGGAUCACCUGAGGUCGGGAGUUCAAGACCUGCCUGGCCAAUACGGUGAAACCCCGUCUCUA
rnacentral:SRP_RNA from 1 species